CCAUGCCAACCUUGAUGCCAUGAAGAUAAAAAAGAUUUGUGGUUGGUCUUCAAGGACUUUCUGGCCCAAUAUGGAGAUGAGUCCCAGCUACUGAAUGAAGUGUUAACAUUAUCUCAUGGAGACUAUUCUGUGGAUCCCAAAAAGGUUACAGAUAUCAAGAAAAUCAACCCCAAAUUAUGUCCACUUGCUACUAUACCAUUAUAUCAACCUCAGAAAUUAUAGUCUCUUCUCACUGGGUUUGGAAAGCCUCAUGCUACCAGGUUUCAUCAUGUUUCCUGACCUCAAGCGAUCCUCUCAACCCAGGCUGUGAGCAGCUACCAUCACAAGCAUGAAACACCAUGGCCACUAAAUU